AAAGUUAAACGGCCGCGGUAUCCUGACCGUGCAAAGGUAGCAUAAUCACUUGUUCCUUAAUUAGGGACUAGCAUGAAUGGCUAAACGAGGGUUCAACUGUCUCUUACUCUCAAUCAGUGAAAUUGACCUUCCAGUGAAGAGGCUGGAAUAACCUAAUAAGACGAGAAGACCCUAUGGAGCUUAAAUUAACUAGCUUAAUUUCUACAAUCUAACCUAAUGGACCAAACAACAAAAAAAAAUAAGCUAGCAAUUUCGGUUGGGGUGACCUCGGAGAACAAAAAAACCUCCGAAUGAUUAUAGCUUAGACUUACAAGUCGAAGCAACACCUAAAAUCUUAUUGAUCCAAAACCUUUUGAUCAACGGACCAAGUUACCCUAGGGAUAACAGCGCAAUCCUAUUUAAGAGUCCAUAUCGACAAUUAGGGUUUACGACCUCGAUGUUGGAUCAGGACAUCCCAA
rnacentral:rRNA from 1 species